AGUGGAAGACUUAAGAUGGCGGCGUUUGCACGGAGUGCAAUCACUGCGUCCUUACGGGGGUUGCAAGGCGUCCGAAGUAUGAGUCCACUAACAAAAGUCCAGAAACUCGCCAGUUAAUAGUAUUGUGUCUCUUCAAAAUAUCGGAGAAUAAUUUCUUUCUCGCUGAUCGCCUAACUUCUACUGACGAAGCUUGGAAGUUGCAGAAGGUUGGAGUGCAAUGGCGCGAUCUCGGCUGACUGCAACCUCCACCUCCUGGAUUCAAGCUAUUCUCCUGCCUCAGCCUGCCGAGUAGCUGGGAUUACAGGCAUGUGCCACCGCACCCAGCUAAUUUUGUAUUUUUUAGUAGAGAUGGGGUUUCUCCAUGUUGGUCAGGCUGGUCUUGAACUCCUGACCUCAGGUGAUCCGCCCACCUCAGCCUCCCAAAGUGCUGGGAUUACAGGCGUGAGCCACCGCGCCCGGCCAGAACAUUAGUUUUAAACUUCCUAACCCUUGGGAGAAGGCAAAACACUUGAUGAAAUCUACAUAAAGACUAAAACAUUUUACCAAUUUUGCAUUGUUUGUUUGAAAUUGCAUUGACGACUGAUGGAGUUCGCUCUUGUUGCCCAGGCUGGAAUGCAAUGGCAUGACCUUGGCUCACUGCAACCUCUGCCUCCCCAGUUCAAGUGGUUCUCCUGCCUCAGCCUCCCGAGUAGCUGAGAUUACAGGUACUGGCUCCUGUAUCACCCAGCUCUGGAGUUGAAAGAGCUCUUCAUUCCUGAGUCUCCUGUACCACUGAGAAUAGGCUGGAGUGCAGUGGCGCAAUCUCGGCUCUCUGCAACCUUCACCUCCCGUGUUCAAGUGAUUCUCCUGCCUCAGCCUCCUGAAUACCUGAGAUUACAAGCAUGCACCACCACGCCCGUCUAAUUUUGUAUUUUCACUAGAGACGGGGUUUCUCCAUGUUGGUCAGGCUGGUCUCGAACUCCCGACCUCAGGUGAUCCGCCCGCCUCAGCCUCCCAAAGUGCUGGGAUUACAGGCAUGAGCCACCGCGUCCAGCAAGAAUAGGUGAUUUUCAAACUUGGAAACAUUCAGAAGUUAUCGCCUCAGUUUCAGAUUGAGUAGUCUCAAAGAGAUUACAGACAUCUACCACAAAUUCUCUACUUGGUGUGGUGCAAAAUCAGUAUGAUGUAAACUUUGUCUCUCAGUUUCUUCAAAGGAAAGAAGCAACUGGAACACACAUAUAACACUAACCCUUCCAGCUGCAUUAUGAGGGACCAGUACCUGUCUCAAGGCAAAAUUAUGACUUAGUUCAUCCUCACCUCUGGAGGCCAGUAAAAGUGGGUUAUAGAAGAACAAAGAGGCAUCUAGAUCUUUCACUGGGUUAUUUGGAGAGAAACAUCUCCUACCGAAGGCCAGUUUAACAAGACUGGUAGAGGAGGUUAUCUUAUCUAAUUCACAGAAAUCAACACAUUGAGUCAAGAAAAAUGAAACACAGAAACACUCUAAAUAAAAGAAGAUAAGUCUUCAGAAACCAACCCUAAUGAAAUGAAGAUAUGUGAUUAACCUGACAGGAAAUUAAAAAGAGCAACCAUAAAGAGUCUCAUGGGAGCAAUGCAUGAACAAACUGAGAAUUUUCAUAAAGAAAUAAAAGAUAACAAAAAGUAUAAAGUUGAAGAAUACAAUAACUGGACUCAAAAAUUUAAUGUGUCCAACAGAAGAAUCGAUGAAGCAGAAGAAAGGGCUAUCAAACUUGUAGAUAGGCCAUUGGAAAUCAUGUAAUGUGAGGAGAAAAAAGAAAAAAGAUUGAAGAUAGUUUAAGAGACUUUUGAGACAUCCUCAAA
rnacentral:lncRNA from 1 species